UCACACAAAGAUGACAUAUGGUACCUUCUCGGGUUGGACUAUCCACAUACCGUUUGAAGAAAUCCUCUUGGAUACACCUCACUAAUUCUGCCCUAUCUAACCCUUUGGCACUGAGCAA